GGCUGACCUCAGCUGCAGGAUUGCUACAAACAUAUCCCCAAAAUAGCUGGUUUUAGAAACACGAAGUGUCCUCAUACUAUUACCCAACCCACAAUACAAAUAUAGUGGCAGCAGUCAGUCUAGUGAAACCACGGCCAGGAACAGUGUGAGUUACGGCAAACAAACCAGCGCUGGGGGAUGAAAGCUGAUGGGAGGGACUUGCUCCCCAGGGCUGCUGAUUACAUGGCAAAGGACCCGUCUGGCUUUGGAGGAAUCUGGGGGGUUUACAGAGCAGUCCAUGGCAAAUAAUGGCCAAAAAACCAAACAAACCCAAAAAACAAAGUCUCUUUGCAGAUGCUCGGUAAUUCUUUGAACAUAUCAGACGGGUUUGUGUAUCCCUGUGUCCGAGUUGCUCUGUGGAUUCUCCCCAGAAGAAAACAGGCACCUCUGGAGCAUGUUGCACACUGGCCUGAGGUCAUGUCUAAAGGCAGCCUGGCAGACGCACGCUGGAACACGGCCUCUGAGCAGAGGGCAGGCGGCGAGCUUGAGGGGAGAGCGACGCUGCAUCUGGGAGCACUUUUCGAGGUGUGGAGAGAUGGAGUCUUCCAUGUUCUUGGGGACAACAUAUAGAAACCCUCCUCCCUGUCAUGCUGAGCUGUUGUCAUUGCCCUACAUGGGUGACCCUGAGGAGGAUGAGGACAGAGCUACUGGUCCUGUCACUCCCCACCAGUCCCGAGGAGGACAAGCUGGUUGGGGCUGACCGGAGGCAGCCGGGAGCAGCUCUGCAGCCACCUCCUUCAGAUGACAGCACGGGCAGAGCAGAACUCACCGCAGAGACCAGGGUCUCCCUAAGCACCUGAGCAUCUCCUGAAGGUGGUGAUUGCUCCCAAAGGGACGGGUGAGCAGCACCCAGCAGCCUGCCUCUGUCCAAGUGCAAAGGAGGCCUGAGGACACGGAUGGGGAGGGGGAGCGGAGCGAGGCAGCACAGAGGAACAAUUGAAAAGAGGAAAAAGGAAAUCCUCCUGGAGCUGUGAAAGUGUUUUCCCAGACUGUCUGGCCCGCUACGAUGACCUCAUUCUCCGAGGUGAUGUUAAUUGGGCUGAAAGACUGGAGAACAGGCUGUCCAGCCCUGCGAGCCCCACCGCCGCCGUCACCUGCACAGCCCCAGCACGGCACCCACGCCUCCUGCCCAGCAGCAUCCAUCGGCCGCCGCAGCCCUCGUUAAACCCGACCCAGGCUGCCCCUGCCGAAACGCAGAGUCCCGUGCUUUUGCCAGUGCCUUUAACGAGGGUUAACAAGCCACAGAUUUCCAUUAGUUCAUCUCAGCUGUUUAUCCUGGAAAAUUCCCUUUGCAAAAUCAGUGUGAUGCACACAGAUCUAGAGGGAGGGGAGGGCAUCCGAGUGCUGUGCAUGCCAGGUUCAGAGGUCUCCGCUCAUCUCCAGGCACUGAUAUCCUCAUGACAGCAAGGUCCAGGAGACCAAGCACUGGGAAGCAUGGUCUUGUGGAUGUGAGACCACAGGAGGGUUCGUUACCAGAGAUAAGGAGCUUGUGGGGUGGACAUCCUGUUCCCUGCAAGGGCGCCAAGGGGGUGUCUCCUGGUGGGUCAAUAUUUUAACUGAGAUAAUGGAGGUCUGAGUAAUGGGUCCCCUCCCAGAUCCUCUUUUGCUACAGAUGUGUGGGCACCAAGAGAAGUUUUUUUCACAUUCUUACCCAGAGGCAUUUUCUGAUUUCUUAUGUGGAGGGGGAGAAACCAGCAGAGUUUAUCUCCUCCCACAUGUUUAUCUGACUUUUAAACAUCUUCAAAACACAGCUCCUAAGGCCACUAGCUGCCUGUCAAAUUUGCCUGAAUUUGUUCCACUAAUUAUGAAGGCAUGAGGAGCACACACUUGCACAUGAUUGCAGAAGGCAUGCUUCCUUGCAAAAACCAAAACAAAAAGUAAGCACUUGGGAGUACUUUUAUGUAGUAGAGAAAUUAAAAUAGUGAGAAUGAAAGGCUGGACAUUAAAGCUAGAUCUCCUCAAAUGUGGACCGGCCCAUAUCUCAACACUGACUGUGCUGGAAAAAAUUACAGAGGGCAAAGACAGAAUUCUCCUUGAUAGCUUGGCAGGCAGACUGGCUGCCUUUCCAGCAGAAGAUCUUAAGCCAAAAGAUAGUUCCUGGUCUUGAUGGUAGCAGGGCAAUGGUGUCAGGCCUCAAGUUGUUUGAGCUGCAUAAUAUCAAAUCUUAUGGCCAUAAAUUUGGUGCAAUCAAAAGACUGUGAGCAAAAUAACAGUGCUGUGCCAUUGGCUCCUGCUCAACAAUGCUCAUCAGCAGCCUGGUUGUCUCCAGGCAGUCAAGCAACCACAUCAAGAGGCUGUUGCACAUCUUCUAGUGGUUAUUGUGCGUCUUCUGUUCUCUCAUUGCAUCCCCCAGCAAAAUGUGGGUGUUUUGAAGGUAGGAAAAUGUUGUAAUGGAAUUUAUAUUCCUAUUAGAGAAGGCAGGAUCAGAGCCAGGCCACUGGCACAUGGGGUGGAAGUGGAGGAGAGCAGCAAGUCCCUAGACCAGGAGGGUUGAGAGGCUGUGUCACCAGAAAGAUGAGCUGCUUCCUGAUUGCCGAGCUCCAGCACCACAAACACAGCCACAAUAUUUGCUAAUGCAGUCUUCACCUCCCUGCUUGAGUUACUCAGGCCAGGUCAGCAGGCAGGAACCAAGCUUUGACUGCGAUUUCCUCUAAAAACCUGUGGUCACCCCUCUUGGGAGCUGUGGGGAGCCUGCUAUGUAUGGGUCAUAGUCUCAUGUGGGCUGGAGGCUCCUGGAUGGGAGAGGAAACUAAACCCACAAAGCAAACUCACAGCUGGGAGUGUGAUGCAGCAGGGAAAGGAGCCUGCCCAUGGCUUCUACCCCCUGUGCCUUCCCCUGGUCACCCUGAAACAGGGGUGAGCAGCAGUCAGGAGCUCCUCCACGGCCGUGAGCUCCUCCAUGUCCUUCAGUUUCCUCCUCUCUUCCUUCCUUCCUAUCCACUCAGCUGGCACCAGCCUUGUACUUUCUUUGGGAUUCCCUGAACAUUCCCUAAACACAAAGACUUCAUUACUGUGCUUUUCUGUUCUUCAGUUCUUGCUGUUUAAGUGCAAAUGUGCUGCAACCACCUGCCCUCGGGUCAUGAUGACAUUUCUUGGUCAUCCCAUCCAACCAACUCAGAUAUGUUGGCAUUCUUACUCCUACAUCAACACCAUGAGACCACAAGUAGAAACUGUCUGAAGCAUAUUUUUUUUUUUUUCACUUGAGUUUGGCUUUCAAGAGUUAAAGGAGUUUCUUUUUACCAUCAGUGUGGCUGAUAAGCACACUCAACUGCCAAAUGCCAUUUAUUUGUAGCUUACUUUAAAGAUAAGAGAGGGUUCCCCAUGGUAUUAGAGGCUCCAUUCUGCUUCCACUGUGCCCCUUCAGAAUGGCUGCAGUACCAUAUUUGUCUAGUUUGAACUGCAAAAGGUCGUAAUAAUCUCCAACACUGGCAUGUUGCUAUGAGAUCUUAAAUACCGGUAAUGAGCAGGGACUGUCAGAGGCGUUUUUCAUGGUGGAACCUCAUCAGCUUUUGCUCCAGGACAAAUAAUAACAAGCAAAGCCAAGAAGUCCUCUUGGGAGACAGUCUGCCAGACAUGAGCCAUGUCUAGAUUGCGGCUUUGGGUAAGAGACCUGUCUUGCUUGAAGCAAGCUACAGUACCACUGACGUGCCUGCAGUGCCUGCCGUGUCCAUAGGAACGGGGCUGGAGGAGACACAUGCAGCAUCCACACGUUGUACUUGGGUGACCAGAAGUCGAUCUGUGGAUGGUGUGUGGGGUGUCUCAUUCACUUGUCUCCAGUUUUGCUCCCUGUGAGAUAUCUGUGCCUGCCUAUGUGGUCCUAGCUCCUGUCAGAGCAGUUGUAACUGCUCGGCAGCUGGGGACACCUGGAGAGGCAGACCUCGCCCUGUGCACUUUCAUUCCUCAUAGUUAGCUCUCACCUUCUGUGUACCCCUUGGCAGCUCCCCCUCGUAGAUCUGUUCUUUAAAGGGAAAUUUUGCUUGCCUUGGGUGUAACGAAGAGAAGAUUUUAAGCCAAACAACAGAUGACAUCUGGUCCUUGUGCUCCCCAUCACUGUGGACAACAUUUUAAUGUGGACAACACUGUUGUUGUAUCCAAAUUAUUCUCUGGAAUUGGUAGUCCCUUCCAGAUUUGGAAAAUUUGAAUCUGUUCCUGUCAGCUAACUUUCAAGAUAUCUUUGGUUGGUAGAGAAGAGUGUUUUGUCCAUAGGACUUGAUUCUGAGGCAAUAGUUUUAUUUUUCUGACAUUAGUCUUAGUUCUGUCACGAACACUUCAACUUGUAUGACUUCUACAUGGUUCUUUAUUUCCUACUAGUUUUGCUGUUAUUCCCUUUGGAAAUGGCUUUAUGUUGAGUCUUCAAACACCUAUUUUUUUCAGGAUAGCACAGAUUAUUCUUAUGGGAUGACUUAUGACUUUAUCUCCAUUUUUCAAACUAAUUGAGAAGCAGCUGAUGUUAAUUGUUGAGUCUUAGUGAUGUCAUGGGAUUGCAUUUGGAACAGAGCUUUCAUUAUGCUCUGUCUCAAAUUGCGGAUUCUAAUAGCAAAAUUUUGCUGUCUUCUUUGCUGUCCAAAUUUAUUUGAAAUGUUUCUUGCAGUACUGAUGAGUCCAUCUCUUCCUUAAGGAUGUCACUGAAAGCAUUGUUAUUAGGCAGGAGAGUACUGACCUCUGCAUCUGGUUUUGUGUUGUUUUGAGACAUAACUUGAGAUCCAGAUUCUUUGCUAAUAAAAUCAUCAUCUAAGGCAGAAUUUAGAGCUAACAUAUUUUGUCCUAGUGCUUAUGUUUUAUUUUUCUCUAUUUCUGAAUAAACAAACCAAACCAGAA